UACGGAGGGUGCAAGCGUUGUUCGGAUUUACUGGGCGUAAAGGGCGCGUAGGCGGUCUUAUAAGUCAUAUGUGAAAGCCCACGGCUCAACCGUGGAAGUGCUUGUGAAACUGUGAGACUUGAGUAUGGGAGAGGAAAGUGGAAUUCCCGGUGUAGAGGUGAAAUUCGUAGAUAUCGGGAGGAAUACCGGUGGCGAAGGCGACUUUCUGGACCAAUACUGACGCUGAGGCGCGAAAGCGUGGGUAGCAAACAGG
rnacentral:rRNA from 1 species